ACUUUCAACAACGGAUCUCUUGGCUCUCGCAUCGAUGAAGAACGUAGCGAAGUGCGAUAAGUAGUGUGAAUUGCAGAAUUCCGUGAAUCAUCGAAUUUUUGAACGCAAAUUGCGCUUCCUGGCAUCCCGGGAAGUAUGCCUGUUUGAGGGUCAGU
rnacentral:rRNA from 1 species